GAUGAAGAACGUAGCGAAAUGCGAUACGUAGUGUGAAUUGCAGAAUUCAGUGAAUCAUCGAAUCUUUGAACGCACAUUGCACCUCUCGGUAUUCCGGGAGGUAUGCCUGUUCGAGCGUCAUUUGUACCCUCAAGCUCUGCUUGGUGAUGGGUGUUUGUUCCGCCUCUGUGUGUGAACUCGCCUCAAAACAAUUGGCAGCCGGCGUACUUGUUUCGGAGCGCAGCACAUUUUGCGAUCCAGAUCAACGUACAGCGGCAUCCAAGAAGCCUUAUUUAACGCUCUUGACCUCGGAUCAGGUAGGGAUACCCGCUGAACUUAAGCAUAUCAAUAAGCGGAGGA
rnacentral:misc_RNA from 1 species